rnacentral:rRNA from 1 species
AGGACGAACGCUGGCGGCGUGCCUAACACAUGCAAGUCGAGCGGGGAUGUCUGGGAAGCUUGCUUCCGGACAUCUAGCGGCGGACGGGUGAGUAACGCGUGAGCAACCUGCCUUUAACAGGGGGAUAACGCAUCGAAAGAUGUGCUAAUACCGCAUAAGACCACGGUUUCACAUGGGACAGGGGUCAAAGGAGCAAUCCGGUUAAAGAUGGGCUCGCGUCCGAUUAGCUAGUUGGUGAGAUAACAGCCCCACCAAGGCGACGAUCGGUAGCCGACCUGAGAGGGUGAUCGGCCACAUUGGAACUGAGAUACGGUCCAGACUCCUACGGGAGGCAGCAGUGGGGAAUAUUGGGCAAUGGGCGAAAAAGCCUGACCCAGCAACGCCGCGUGAGGGAAGAAGGGUUUCGGCUCGUAAACCUCUGUCCUGUGGGACGAAGGAAGUGACGGUACCACAGGAGGAAGCCCCGGCUAACUACGUGCCAGCCGCAGC